CGAAGAUGUAAAAGAUUCUUAAUAUCCGGCGUUGCUGGAGUGUGGGGAAACAGGCGCUCUGGCCAGAGUGCAAAGUGCUCAAGCCUUUUUGGAGGGUGAUCUGGCAGUCUCUUAUCGCAUACCCCCGCUGAUCCAGCAAACUCCUACUAGGAAUACGCUUUAAAGAAAUACUUGUCCGUGUGCAUACACACAUUUGCGACUGUGAAAGGGGAAAGAGAAAAAGCAGCAACCUCAACACCCAUCGUCAGAGAACAACAUACAUCCCAGCACACCCACCUUAUGAAGUAUUUAUGCAGCCAGAAGGCUUGGAAGCCAGAUGAAACGGCUUACUCAGAAUUGUUUGUCAAUCAGAGUAAACAGCCCUGAACACUGCUGGAAAAAGCUGACCUGUUUGUGAUGGACUCUGACUCUGCUGAACAGACUACUUUACUAUUUCUCCACUGUUGAGAGUAAACAAGAUUGCAGGCAGUUGAGUUCUGAAUAUUAUUUGUGUGACAGACCUAUACAAAAGUUUAGUAAAUCAUAAGAUAUUAAGGAACUUGGCCUGUUUAUUAUUUGUAUGUACCUAAAAACAGAUAAACCCUUACCUAAAAUUCUAAGAUAUUAAAUGCAGCAAGUUUCCCUGAUUAAACAUCAUUUCCAAGAAAGACUUACAACGAAGGGAAAAAGAAAGGUAAGAUCGAGUUCCUGAUCCUAAACUAGUAAGGAAGAAAAAACACUGCAAACACGUGCUACUAGGCCUCUUCUGAGGGCUGCUCGGUAGUGCUGAAAGUGCCACAGGAGAGGACAGAAAAAGGAAUCCCAACAAAAGACACCCCAGGAGGGGCCCUGGGGGGUGCAGCAUCAGGGAGGGGGCUUGAAAGAUGAGUAGGUUUCAACAAGUAGAAAUCUGAAGAAACAGCAUUUCCAGCCGAUGGGAGUGGUGAAUAGUCUGGCGACAUAAGAAUGAUGCAAUUUCAAAACAAUUUUUUGAUUGGGUCAUACUGUAAAGGAUUUUAAAUACCAUGACUGUUAUUUUGAAGAUAUAAGGGGAAACCACUAGCGAAGAGGAGGAGGGGGAGGAAGAAGAGGAAGAGAAAAAGGAAGAGAAACGAAGGAGGGAGACAGGGAAGGAGGGAGGAAGGAGAAGAUGGAUGAUCAACAGAAGUGUGCUUCAAGACUCCCAGAUGACAGAACUGGCCAGGUGGUGGUUCAUGCCUGCAAUCUCAGCACUUUGGGAGGCUGAGGUGG
rnacentral:lncRNA from 10 species